rnacentral:rRNA from 1 species
UACGGAGGGUGCAAGCGUUAUCCGGAUUCACUGGGUUUAAAGGGUGCGUAGGUGGAUAAGUAAGUCAGUGGUGAAAUCUUCGGGCUUAACCCGGAAACUGCCAUUGAUACUAUUUGUCUUGAAUACUUUGGAGGUAAGCGGAAUAUGUCAUGUAGCGGUGAAAUGCUUAGAUAUGACAUAGAACACCAAUUGCGAAGGCAGCUUACUACACAGUAAUUAACACUGAGGCACGAAAGCGUGGGGAUCAAACAGG